ensembl:lncRNA
GUUAAUGGUGUGGGUCUGAGAUAUACAGACAGACGGUAUCUUACUCUGCCUGGUAAUUGAAUGAUCGUCAUGACGUUUGAACUCCUCGAAACAAAAGAAACGACAGAUGAAGAGAUUUUCCUUAGAGACGGAUCUUAAGAAAAGAUCAUUGUUUCAGGGUCACUUUGAGAGACUCUUUGAAGACUCCAAGCUCAUGCCUGCCCGUCACGGUUGCCAUGUUGGGGCAACUGAACCAACACGAGCACAAAACAAUCCCGGCGGAAAGCAAUCCCGGCGCGACAUUAUACUUUGAGAUGAGCCCAAUUAUAUUUUGGACAAGCAACGACGAGUCCUGCACUGGUUUUGCGCGUCUCAGGUCAUGGAGCUCCUUGGAAAGAGGACACGCACUUUAGCUCUUUUUAGCGUCUGCAAGGUGCCGAGCGAAGAGAGGGAAGGGGAGAGGGAAAAAAAGCCCUCCACUGCAGAGAUGGUCUUGGCGCGGGAGAAGUCAACCCGGACACAGAGGGUUUGAGUCACUGGUGUGCGACGUUUCUUUCUUUGGUUUGUUUCUCAAUCUGCUGGACAACAGCUUGAGUGGGAUGCACUCUGAUCCACUUUCUCCUCCGCGAG